CAGUCGCCGCGGGAAUACAGAGGGUGCAAGCGUUAAUCGGAUUUACUGGGCGUAAAGGGCGCGUAGGUGGUUAUUUAAGUGAGAUGUGAAAGCCCCGGGCUUAACCUGGGAACUGCAUCUUAUACUGGGUAACUGGAGUGCAGUAGAGGGUAGUGGAAUUUCCGGUGUAGCGGUGAAAUGCGUAGAUAUCGGAAGGAACACCAGUGGCGAAGGCGGCUACCUGGACUGAGACUGACACUGAGGCGCGAGAGCGUGGGGAGCAAACAGGAUUAGAUACCCCAGUAGUCCCUGUCUCUUAUAC
rnacentral:rRNA from 1 species